rnacentral:rRNA from 1 species
GAGUUUGAUCCUGGCUCAGGACGAACGCUGGCGGCGUGCUUAACACAUGCAAGUCGAGCGAUGAAGCUCCUUCGGGAGUGGAUUAGCGGCGGACGGGUGAGUAACACGUGGGUAACCUGCCUCAUAGAGGGGAAUAGCCUUUCGAAAGGAGGAUUAAUACCGCAUAAGAUUGUAGUACCGCAUGGUACAGCAAUUAAAGGAGUAAUCCGCUAUGAGAUGGACCCGCGUCGCAUUAGCUAGUUGGUGAGGUAACUGCUCACCAAGGCGACGAUGCGUAGCCGACCUGAGAGGGUGAUCGGCCACAUUGGGACUGAGACACGGCCCAGACUCCUACGGGAGGCAGCAGUGGGGAACAUUGCACAAUGGGGGAAACCCUGAUGCAGCAACGCCGCGUGAGUGAUGACGGUCUUCGGAUUGUAAAGCUCUGUCUUUAGGGACGAUAAUGACGGUACCUAAGGAGGAAGCCACGGCUAACUACGUGCCAGCAGCCGCGGUAAUACGUAGGUGGCAAGCGUUGUCCGGA